GGGAUGGUUCAGGCUGAAAGCCCAGUCUGACGUGUCGGAUGUCACUGUCUUUCUGCAGUAGCAGUUGAACCAAUACGGGAUGCUUCAUGGAUACAAAUUCAUGGAUUUGAAAUGCAUCCAAGCUGGUUU